rnacentral:rRNA from 1 species
AGUGAACGCUGGCGGUAGGCCUAACACAUGCAAGUCGAACGGCAGCACAGUAAGAGCUUGCUCUUACGGGUGGCGAGUGGCGGACGGGUGAGGAAUACAUCGGAAUCUACUUUUUCGUGGGGGAUAACGUAGGGAAACUUACGCUAAUACCGCAUACGACCUACGGGUGAAAGCAGGGGAUCUUCGGACCUUGCGCGAUUGAAUGAGCCGAUGUCGGAUUAGCUAGUUGGCGGGGUAAAGGCCCACCAAGGCGACGAUCCGUAGCUGGUCUGAGAGGAUGAUCAGCCACACUGGAACUGAGACACGGUCCAGACGCCUACGGGAGGCAGCAGUGGGGAAUAUUGGACAAUGGGCGCAAGCCUGAUCCAGCCAUACCGCGUGGGUGAAGAAGGCCUUCGGGUUGUAAAGCCCUUUUGUUGGGGAAAGAAAAGCAGCAGGUUAAUACCCCGCUGUUCUGACGGUACCCAAAGAAUAAGCACCGGCUAACUUCGUG